rnacentral:rRNA from 1 species
AACGAACGUUGGCGGCGUGGAUUAGGCAUGCAAGUCGGGGGAAUCCCAGCAAUGGGGGAACCGGCGUAAGGGGCAGUAAGGCGUGGGUACCUACCCCGGGGUUCGGGAUAGCCGUCCGAGAGGGCGGGUAAUACCGGAUGACCUGGUGACAGCAAAGAUUUAUCGCCCUGGGAGGGGCCCACGUGAUAUUAGGUAGUUGGCGGGGUAACGGCCCACCAAGCCUUAGAUGCCUAGCGGGUGUGAGAGCACGACCCGCGCCACUGGCACUGAGACACUGGCCAGACACCUACGGGUGGCUGCAGUCGAGGAUCUUCGGCAAUGGGCGCAAGCCUGACCGAGCGACGCCGCGUGGGCGAUGAAGGCCUCCGGGUUGUAAAGCCCUGUCGGGGGGGAGAAAAGGGUAAAACUUUGAUCUAUCCCCGGAGGAAGCACGGGCUAAGUUCGUGCCAGCAGCCGCGGUAA